CAUUGUUCUAAGUGCUACCGCUGAACAAUAAUCGCUUGAAUUUCAUUUCCCAGGACGCCACUCCCCGCCCCCGUCCCGCCGCCCCCCUCCCAAUUCCUUUAAUUACUUUCCGAUCUUCGAAUGAUUGAUCACAAUCUGCUGCCGCCAGCGUUCUGAUAUUGGUCGUCUCAAUCCGUUUACAACAACAAAGUUUCAACAAACUUUCUCAAUUAAAUUACAAAACACAAGAGGCUUGUUAUGAGUUGUAACAGUUGCUGGCUUGUAUCUGGCAUCGUAAUGAAGGUGCGGCGUCGCUGCUUCGAAAUCGGGUAUGGUGGAAGCUUAAUCGACGAUGAGGUCUUAAAAAGGAUCAUCAGGUGCUUGUCCUUCUAUAAUAUCUUCUUCUGAGUCGGUCUUUACAUUGCUGGAGGUCGUGUCUAGUUUGAAACGUUGACCUCUCGAUCCACUUUACUUUCCCAUGUCUUCCUGUCCUUGGCGGUCUUUAUAGCCUAGGUUAUUAGCAGGCCGG